GACGAACGCUGGCGGCGUGCCUAAUACAUGCAAGUCGAACGGACCGCGACUGAGUGCUUGCACUUGGUCAAGGUGAGUGGCGAACGGGUGAGUAACACGUGGGUAACCUACCUCAUAGUGGGGGAUAACAGUCGGAAACGACUGCUAAUACCGCAUAGGACAUGGAAUCACAUGAUUCUGUGAGGAAAGGUGGCGCAAGCUAUCGCUAAGAGAUGGACCCGCGGUGCAUUAGCUAGUUGGUAGGGUAAGGGCCUACCAAGGCGAUGAUGCAUAGCCGACCUGAGAGGGUGAUCGGCCACAUUGGGACUGAGACACGGCCCAAACUCCUACGGGAGGCAGCAGUAGGGAAUCUUCCGCAAAGGACGCAAGUCUGACGGAGCAACGCCGCGUGAGUGAAGAAGGUCUUCGGAUCGUAAAGCUCUGUUGUUAGAGAAGAACAGCGCAUAGAGUAACUGUUAUGCGUGUGACGGUAGCUAACCAGAAAGCCACGGCUAACUACGUG
rnacentral:rRNA from 1 species